rnacentral:lncRNA from 1 species
AUGGAGCUAGCAUUCAAGCAAGAGCAAUGCAUAAAUAGGUAGCUAGUCAUGGGUGAUAAGCAUUUCAGAAUUCAUUAUUCAAGAUUAACAUUUGAUUCAGAAAAGCAUUUAGCUCAACAUGGUUAUAUGACAAUAUCAUCAAGAGCAUAUGCUGCACAUUGCUACACAAUCACCAACCAAUGCACUAGCUCACAAAUAGCAUAAGGAAAUGCUAAAUAUAUAUAGGAG